rnacentral:rRNA from 1 species
CUACGGGCCGCUGCAGUGGGGAAUAUUGGACAAUGGGCGCAAGCCUGAUCCAGCAAUACCGCGUGUGUGAAGAAGGCCUGCGGGUUGUAAAGCACUUUCAAUUGUGAAGAAAAGCGAGAGGUUAAUAGCCUUUUGUCUUGACGUUAACUUUAGAAGAAGCACCGGCUAACUCUGUGCCAGCAGCCGCGGUAAUACAGAGGGUGCGAGCGUUAAUCGGGAUUACUGGGCGUAAAGCGUGCGUAGGCGGUUUAGUAAGUCAGAUGUGAAAGCCCUGGGCUCAACCUGGGAACUGCAUUUGAAACUGCUGAACUAGAGUGUGGUAGAGGGAAGUGGAAUUCCGGGUGUAGUGGUGAAAUGCGUAGAUAUCCGGAGGAACACCAGUGGCGAAGGCGACUUCCUGGACCAACACUGACGCUGAGGUACGAAAGCGUGGGUAGCAAACAGGAUUAGAUACCCCUGUAGUC